rnacentral:snRNA from 11 species
UGUGAAAGCACUCUGGCUAUGACGUCUGUCACCUCAUUGAUCGCCAGGGUUGAUUUGGCUGAUCUGGCUGGCUAGGCGGGUGUCACCUUCCUCCCUCACCCU